rnacentral:lncRNA from 1 species
UGGGAGGCUCCCCUUACUCAGAGAGUAAGAUCCUAAUUAAGUAACCACCUUUCAUGCUUUCCUAGACACCAAUUAGAUCAAUUAAUCUAAUAUGACUUGCUCAUGUUGGUUCACUCUUGACUUGAUUGAGGAGGUUUUAAUUUAGGUCUCAUUGGGUUUGUUACAUCACAUGUAAACCUAUCUACCCCGCUCUCAUUCACAUCACAUGCAAACGGCACAUCACAGGCAGUUAUAAUCGCAGCAUCAAAUAAAGUUAAACUUUAAAUAGGUGAUGAUCAUGGAUUCUAAUUAGGUCGUAUUACAAGCACAUGCACGUCAAUCGAUUAAUUGGUCUUCUACUCUUGAAUUGGUUCCAAGCCUCCUUGAUUCGAUCCUUGAUCAACUCUUGAUCCAAUCGCCAUCAACCGCUUAGA